rnacentral:rRNA from 1 species
AGAGUUUGAUCCUGGCUCAGGAUGAACGCUGGCGGCAGGCCUAACACAUGCAAGUCGAGCGAGAAAGCUCUUCGGAGUGAGUACAGCGGCGGACGGGUGAGUAACGCGUGGGAAUCUACCCAGUAACGGGGGAUAGCCCGGGGAAACUCGGAUUAAUACCGCUUACGCCCUACAGGGGAAAGCAUGGGAUCUUCCGACCUUGCACUAUUGGAUGAGCCCGCGUCUGAUUAGCUUGUUGGUGGGGUAACGGCCUACCAAGGCGACGAUCUGUAGCUGGUCUGAGAGGAUGAUCAGCCACACUGGGACUGAGACACGGCCCGACUCCUACGGGAGGUGGGGUGGGGAAUAUUGGACAAUGGGGGCAACCCUGAUCCAGCCAUGCCGCGUGUGUGAAGAAGGCCUUCGGGUUGUAAAGCACUUUCCCGGAGGAGGAAAGCCUGAUGGCUAAUACCCAUCGGGGGUGACGUUACUCGCAGAAGAAGCACCGGCUAACUCCGUGCCAGCAGCCGCGGUAAUACGGAGGAUGCAAGCGUUAAUCGUGAAUUACUGGGCGUAAAGCUGCGCGUAUGCGGCUGUUUAAGCUAGCUGUGAGUCCCCGGGCUCAACCUGGGAACUGCAGUUAGAACUGGGCAUCUAGAGUACAGUAGAGGAGUGUGGAAUUUCCUGUGUAGCGCUGAAAUGCGUACAUAUAGUGAGGAACAUCAGUGUCGAGAGCGACACUCUGGACUGAUACUGGCGCUGACGUGGAAAGCGAGAGGAUCAAACGCGAUUAGAUUCCAUGGUACUGCUCGCCCUAAACGAAGUCUAUUGAACCUUGCGAUUCGUGGAGUUUUCAGUGGAGCAGCUCACGCACUACAGUAGACCUCCUCGCGAGUACGGCCGCAAGGUUAGAACUCAAAUGAAUUGACGGGGGGCCGGCACAAGCGGUGGAGCAUGUGGUGUAAUUCGACGCAACGCGAAGAACCUUACCAGGUCUUGACAUCCUGAGAACUUUCUAGAGAUAGAUUGCAGCGUUCGGGAACUCAGUGACAGCAGCUGCAUGACCGUCGUCAGCUCGUGUCGUGAGAUGAUGGGUUAAGUCCCGUAACGAGCGCAACCCUUGUCGUUAGUUGCCAGCAUCGUAAUGGUGGGAACUCUAAGGAGACUGCCGGUGACAAACCGGAGGAAGGGGGGAUGACGUCAGGUCAUCAUGGCCCUUACGACCUGGGCUACACACGUGCUACAAUGGUCGGUACAGAGGGCAGCCAAUCCGCAAGGUGGAGCUAAUCCCACAAAACCGAUUGUAGUCCGGAUUCGAUUUUGCAAUUGGACUCCAGGAAGUGGGAAUCGUUAGUAAUCCAGAAUCACAAUGUCCCGGGGAAUACGUUCCCGGCCUUUGUCCCCCCCGCCCGUCCCCCCAUGGGAGUGGGUUGCACCAGAAGUGGUUAGUUUACCUUUCGGGAGGACGGUCACCCCGGUGGGAUUCAGGACUGGGGGGAAGUGGUACCAAGGUA